GGCAUGUCUUCCUUGGCUACU
rnacentral:miRNA from 1 species